CGGGGUGUGGCGCAGCUUGGUAGCGCGCUUCGUUCGGGACGAAGAGGUCGCUGGUUCAAAUCCAGUCACCCCGA
rnacentral:tRNA from 3 species